rnacentral:tRNA from 1 species
GCUGGGGUUGUGGCCCAGUGGCAGAGCUCUUGCCUUGCAUGUAUGAGGCACUGGGUUCGAUUCUCAGCCCUGCA